GCUGUGCGGCGUGCCUAAUACAUGCAAGUAGAACGCUGAAGAGAGGAGCUUGCUCUUCUUGGAUGAGUUGCGAACGGGUGAGUAACGCGUAGGUAACCUGCCUUGUAGCGGGGGAUAACUAUUGGAAACGAUAGCUAAUACCGCAUAACAAUGGAUGACACAUGUCAUUUAUUUGAAAGGGGCAAAUGCUCCACUACAAGAUGGACCUGCGUUGUAUUAGCUAGUAGGUGAGGUAACGGCUCACCUAGGCGACGAUACAUAGCCGACCUGAGAGGGUGAUCGGCCACACUGGGACUGAGACACGGCCCAGACUCCUACGGGAGGCAGCAGUAGGGAAUCUUCGGCAAUGGGGGCAACCCUGACCGAGCAACGCCGCGUGAGUGAAGAAGGUUUUCGGAUCGUAAAGCUCUGUUGUAAGUCAAGAACGAGUGUGAGAGUGGAAAGUUCACACUGUGACGGUAGCUUACCAGAAAGGGACGGCUAACUACGUGCCAGCAGCCGCGGUAAUACGUAGGUCCCGAGCGUUGUCCGGAUUUAUUGGGCGUAAAGCGAGCGCAGGCGGUUUGAUAAGUCUGAAGUUAAAGGCUGUGGCUCAACCAUAGUUCGCUUUGGAAACUGUCAAACUUGAGUGCAGAAGGGGAGAGUGGAAUUCCAUGUGUAGCGGUGAAAUGCGUAGAUAUAUGGAGGAACACCGGUGGCGAAAGCGGCUCUCUGGUCUGUAACUGACGCUGAGGCUCGAAAGCGUGGGGAGCGAACAGGAUUAGAUACCCUGGUAGUCCACGCCGUAAACGAUGAGUGCUAGGUGUUGGAUCCUUUCCGGGAUUCAGUGCCGCAGCUAACGCAUUAAGCACUCCGCCUGGGGAGUACGACCGCAAGGUUGAAACUCAAAGGAAUUGACGGGGGCCCGCACAAGCGGUGGAGCAUGUGGUUUAAUUCGAAGCAACGCGAAGAACCUUACCAGGUCUUGACAUCCCGAUGCUAUUUCUAGAGAUAGAAAGUUACUUCGGUACAUCGGUGACAGGUGGUGCAUGGUUGUCGUCAGCUCGUGUCGUGAGAUGUUGGGUUAAGUCCCGCAACGAGCGCAACCCCUAUUGUUAGUUGCCAUCAUUCAGUUGGGCACUCUAGCGAGACUGCCGGUAAUAAACCGGAGGAAGGUGGGGAUGACGUCAAAUCAUCAUGCCCCUUAUGACCUGGGCUACACACGUGCUACAAUGGUUGGUACAACGAGUUGCGAGUCGGUGACGGCAAGCUAAUCUCUUAAAGCCAAUCUCAGUUCGGAUUGUAGGCUGCAACUCGCCUACAUGAAGUCGGAAUCGCUAGUAAUCGCGGAUCAGCACGCCGCGGUGAAUACGUUCCCGGGCCUUGUACACACCGCCCGUCACACCACGAGAGUUUGUAACACCCGAAGUCGGUGAGGUAACCUUUUGGAGCCAGCCGCCUAAGGUGGGAUAGAUGAUUGGG
rnacentral:rRNA from 1 species